rnacentral:rRNA from 1 species
UACGUAGGGUGCAAGCGUUAAUCGGAAUUACUGGGCGUAAAGCGUGCGCAGGCGGUGAUGUAAGACAGGUGUGAAAUCCCCGGGCUUAACCUGGGAACUGCAUUUGUGACUGCAUCGCUGGAGUGCGGCAGAGGGGGAUGGAAUUCCGCGUGUAGCAGUGAAAUGCGUAGAUAUGCGGAGGAACACCGAUGGCGAAGGCGAGUCCCUGGACACUUCCUGACACUGAGGCACGAAAGCUAGGGGAGCAAACAGG